CUCAGACAGAGGUGUGUAGCUGCUGGUAAAGACUCAGACAGAGGUGUGUAGCUGCUGGUAAAGACUCAGACAGAGGUGUGUAACCUACUGUAGCUGCUGGUAAAGA